ACUUUCCAAGACCAUUCUCCCAUUGAAAUUGAUGAGAAAACAGUCCUAUUAAACAGUUAUUUGCCAAAAUAGUCUGAAUUUUGCUUCUCCUCUCUCUCCCCCCUCCCCUCUCCUCCCCUCCCCUCCCCUUCUCUUCUCUGUGACAGCUUCUUUGGAAACCUAGAAAGGACUCCUGAAAGUAGAGUUUCCAUUUUUCUAUUUUACUAGGGAAUAUUGUAGUCUGUUCAUCCAUCACAAUCAUUCUGCUAAGGAAGGUAUCUUACAGCAUGGCUCAUCUCCUACUCCAUUCUGCUCAUAAAAGAUAGACAUUUGAACUCUGUAAAUUUGUAUGGCUCAUAAAAGUGAAAGACUGAUAAUGCCACUUAAGGACAGACAUACUGCAGCUUGUGCAUGAACAUUCUGUGAAGAAACUCAGACUGCAUUCAGAGAAUCUGUCCCAAAAUGCAAGCUAUUUCACAAUUGUCGGAGCAUGAAAAAAGUACAAAUGGUGUAUUCUCUGUUGACAACUGGUCUAAAGUUGCCACCACUAGAUGGCAUGUAUCCUGUAUCCUUUGUCUGAUGGGAGGAGCUGAUGUGAGAGUGUAGGACAACAUCCUCCCCGCCACCAGCAGCACAUAGUGUGUGUAUGUGGACAGUGAAAAGAAACAGUGGACAGGAAGCUUCUGGGGAAGAGGGAGAAACAGACGGUUGGAGAUUCCAGAACAGAGACACUGGUCAGAAAGUUACCCCAGGGUGCAGGGCCACUCUCUGUGAACUGACGUCACCUGCUCUGCAAUUUCAGCUCUGUCCAAUGCCCAACUUGUAUAUUGGUAAAUAAACCAAAUAUUAUAACACCAUAUAAGCCUCUAGGAAUCUUUCAUCCAAAGGACACCCUGAAACAUUUCACUACUCAAGAGAAGUAGGAAGUGAGCAACUAACACUACAGUGGUCCCUCGACUUACGAAGAUAAUCCGUUCCGAACGCACGUUCGUAGGUCGAAAUUUUCGUAAGUCGAAAAGCGCAUCCACGGAGGUCCGGAAACAUUCGUAAGUCGAGGAAACCGCAUCUAAAAAUUCGUAGGUCGAGGAAGCCGCAUCUAAACCGGCAACGACUUCCGGUAUUUUUUGUCGUUCGUAAGUCGAAAUCUUCGGAUGUCGAGUACUUCGUAAGUCGAGGGACCACUGUAUUAUUAUCCCUAUAUUGUAGAUGGAAAGCUGAAGCUGGGAGAGAGUCAUUUGCCAAAGAGGCCACCCAGUCUGUUCAUAGAAGAGCUGAGAUUGAGAUCUGGACCCUCCUGGUUGACAGCUCCAUUGCUUAACCACUCUGACCCCUAAUAAUGAUAGUGCUACAGUCUUGUGCACAUUGCUCUCUGAACUGUGGCCCAGUUAAGUUAAUUUGUUGAUAGGAAUUUAUUGCACAAUCUAAAGCUCUGGUCUACAAAGUACUCUUAUCAGUCUAUUCAUUUAGAAAAAACAAGUGGAAAAUGUUGCAGAGCAGCUUGCAGGGAACAUUAAAUGUGAAUCAAUGAAAAGACACGUGGACUGGCUUUCUUGAGGUUUAGUUUUUGAUGCAAAAGUUACCAAUUCAGGAGGGGAAAGGGGCCAUGAAUGGAAUGGGGAGACAGAGGAAAUGCUAGGGAUUUGCAUUUCAUUUCAGAUACAAAACGUUUUGUGCACAAAACAGGCCAUUUCGGCUGUUUUGUAGACAAAACAAAACACCCAGUGCUCAAAACAGAACAUUGUAGCCAAAACAAAACAUCCAUGUUACGGAUACAAAACAUUUUGUUGUUUCGGCUGUUUUGGAAUUCCAUUUUGAAAUCGCUCGCUAUUCCUUUUAAGGAAAUCUAAGGGUAAAAUUUACCCUCAUUGGC